GAUGAACGCUGGCGGCGUGCCUAAUACAUGCAAGUCGAGCGAACGGACGAGAAGCUUGCUUCUCUGAUGUUAGCGGCGGACGGGUGAGUAACACGUGGAUAACCUACCUAUAAGACUGGGAUAACUUCGGGAAACCGGAGCUAAUACCGGAUAAUAUUUUGAACCGCAUGGUUCAAAAGUGAAAGACGGUCUUGCUGUCACUUAUAGAUGGAUCCGCGCUGCAUUAGCUAGUUGGUAAGGUAACGGCUUACCAAGGCAACGAUGCAUAGCCGACCUGAGAGGGUGAUCGGCCACACUGGAACUGAGACACGGUCCAGACUCCUACGGGAGGCAGCAGUAGGGAAUCUUCCGCAAUGGGCGAAAGCCUGACGGAGCAACGCAGCGUGAGUGAUGAAGGUCUUCGGAUCGUAAAGCUCUGUUAUUAGGGAAGAACAUAUGUGUAAGUAACUGUGCACAUCUUGACGGUACCUAAUCAGAAAGCCACGGCUAACUACGUG
rnacentral:rRNA from 1 species